rnacentral:rRNA from 1 species
GGCGCACGGGUGCGUAACACGUGGGUAAUCUGCCUUCGGGUUCGGGAUAACGCGGGGAAACCUGCGCUAAUACCGGGCAAGACCACGAGGUCCUCGGACCUCGCGGUAAAAGAUGGCCUCUUCUUGAAAGCUAUCGCCUGAAGGUGAGCCCGGCCCCAUUAGCUAGUUGGUGAGGUAAUGGCUCACCAAGGCGGUGAUGGGUAGCUGGUCUGAGAGGACGACCAGCCACACUGGAACUGAGACACGGUCCAAGACUCAUACGGGAGGCAGCAGUCGGGAAUUUUGGGCAAUGGGCGCAAGCCUGACCCAGCAACGCCGCGUGAGCGAUGAAGGCCUUCGGGUCGUAAAGCUCUGUCGAGAGGGAAGAAUGUUCUCGGGGUGAACAAUCCCGGGGAAGCGACGGUACCUCUAAAGGAAGCGCCGGUAACUCCGUGCCAGCCGCCGCGG